rnacentral:lncRNA from 1 species
GAAGGUCCGCGUGGGCGUCUGGUGGGCACUGAGGCUUGCAGAGACUUGAGGUGUGGAGGGCAGAGCCAGGGAGGAGCGAGCAUGUCUUAGGACCUGACAGCCAGGCGGCUGGCACCGCCAUCACCGCUAUCGCUGCUCCUGGUGUUGGUGCUGCUGUCCGGAGCUGGGGCUCUGCGUCCUGAAGAGCUUUUUCCUUACGGGGAGUCGUGGGGAGACCGACUGCCACAGGAGGGCGACGAUGAGAGCUCUGCCUCUGAAGCUAGCAGUACCUCUCCGCUUCUACCUUGUCCAGUUCAGCAACCUCUACAUAAGUUCAGCUCCCAGAGUCAUUGCCCCAUUCCUGGCUGACAUCCACUCGAGUCACAGCAGUGGCCAGAUCCUGUAUGGAGGACACCUCCUGGGCUGUGCUGAGUCUGGCUGCUUGCUACCUGUGCACAGGCUUCCUGCUGACCGGGUCCAGCUUCCCCCCUACCCACUUCUUCCUGGCCACCUGGGAGCAAGUGGGCCCCUAGGAGGAGGACAGUCUUGGGGCUGCGUGGUCUGGAGAGGUAGAAAGCCUCUUCGGGACCCUGAAUAACUUGGUCCCCGCUGGCGGGGACAAGUGGCGCCCGAACACAGGGACCCUGAAGCAAGGCUGACUACAGGACGACGGAGAUAAGAGAGCUGCUGCGGGAAUCGAGGACUCUUCAGGCUGCAUCACUUGUGCGUCGCUGGAGAGGGAGGUAAGGACCGGUCGAAUAAUUGUCGUCUAAUUGCCAUGGGGAAUGUAUGGAUUUAGGAGGCUUGUUUCAUAGGAGAGAUCAAGCGCUCACUCAGGGAGAGAGGAUUAAGAGUUAAGAAAAAGGAUUUAAUCAUGUUCUUUUGUUUUAUUGAUGAAAAGUGUCCCUGGUUAAUUUUAUGUGAAUUUUUUUUGUCUUUGUGUGAGAAACUUGUCCUUGGUUUAUUAUUGAAGGAGCAGAAAUUAAUUCCUAUAGUUGGAAUAAGGUUGGAAAGUGUUUAAAUGUCUUAUUGUAAGAAAAAGGAUCCUAGGCCGUUCCGAUUCAGGAGGUAGUGUCUGUGUCUUUGUGUCUUUGUGUUUUGUGCCGGC